rnacentral:rRNA from 1 species
UGGUCUUGACAUCCCGAAGAUCUCCCGGAAACGGGAGAGUGCUCUCUUUGAGAGAAUUCGGUGACAGGUGCUGCAUGGCUGUCGUCAGCUCGUGUCGUGAGAUGUUGGGUUAAGUCCCGCAACGAGCGCAACCCUCGCCAUUAGUUGCCAGCAUUAAGUUGGGCACUCUAAUGGGACUGCCGGUGUCAAACCGGAGGAAGGCGGGGAUGACGUCAAGUCCUCAUGGCCUUUAUGACCAGGGCUACACACGUACUACAAUGGCCGGUACAACGGGCAGCCACUUCGCAAGAAGGCGCAAAUCCCUGAAAGCCGGUCUCAGUCCGGAUCGGAGUCUGCAACUCGACUCCGUGAAGU